rnacentral:lncRNA from 1 species
CUUUAAUUCUAACUCUUAAAUUAACUCGCUUGCACUGCAUAUGUGUAGAGUCCGACUGGGGUGCUUCUAAUAGUAUCAAGCAUUUAAUGCUAUCAAGUUUUCUGCUGUUAGAUUUAUUUUUUUGACUAUUUUUAUCCGUUAGAUCAUACUAUUCAACCAAUCAUACACCGACUUAAUCGUAGGAGAUUACUAUUAUUCUAACUGUACAUCCUUUCAUCUAAGAGCCGAAAACUUAAUAGCACAAAUGACUUGGUGCUAUUAAUAGUAUAUAAUAGCCUAGUUCUAUAUAUUUAAUUAUAUAGAAAU